ensembl:lncRNA
CUAAAAUUUAAUCAUUCAUAAAAGCUGGAAAAUCGUCUGUGACAGGGUAACACAAGAAGCAAUAUUAGAAUUGGUUUAGUACAAUAUAUUUUCAGCCUCAAGACACAGAUCAAAACGCACCAUUUUCCCCCCCAUCAGUCUAUAAAAUACUAAUUUCCUUAGCUUUAUUAUGCAAAAAUGGAAGUAGAAUAUAUUAUGGGAAAUAUGGAAGGCUUGAAGCUCUCAAUAUAAAACAAAGUCACUUAGGAAAGAUGUUACCUCAUCAAUACAGAUCCUUGUAAGUAGGAGCGAGUAACUUAUGGGCAAUGAUGCAUCUUCAUUGACACUGUUAGUGCAGAAAUGUACGAGAAGACCAACAUUUCACAUGGAUUCUUUUGCAAACGUAUUGUCACAAAAUGUCAAGGAUAAAACAUUUUAGUUCCUGUUUAUGGAUUUAAAUCCAUGGUCUCCUCUUUUACAUUGAUAUUUCCAAAAGAAAGACACCUUGGAGAAGAGAAAAAAAAAAAAAACAAGAAAAAAAAACUGUUGUCAUCAGGCUGACAAUACAAAAGAAGAGGUGUAUUUCUUUGCCAUUAAAAAGCAGAAAAGAGUUUCUUGAGUAUGUGCCGUCUCCUGCCAUUUUGCAAGUGGUGAAGUUUCUGUCAGCCUUUUUCAAAAUGCUCUGGAGAGGACUAGGAAUGCUGGCACGAUCCACUGGGAAACAGUUAAUCAUUACAAGUUUCUGUAAGGAAGAAAAAAAAGUCAGUACAUGUAAUUAAAAAUGUGUUUGUUUAUGGAGACGCAGGGGCCUCAGUUUAGAGCAGAAAUCACCCAGGAGCCAGUGGCCACAUGAGCACUCCAGUGGUUUUAUAUCUGUCAAUAAAUUUUAACCAUCUCUCAGUAGCUCAGCAACCGGCCUGUCUACUUCCUGUCGCACUGCUCUACAUGUUUAGUAAAGUCAUGCUGCCCACAUUGAAUCCACAGAGAACAGCAACUUUCUCCUUGCAGAGGAGCCAAAAAGUUAUCAUAUUUAACUCCACAAAAAAUAAUCAGUUGUCCACCCGUGUUCUUUGUUUUGGGUUUACAAAGGCAAACAUGACAUCAAAAUCUCUUGUUCCAGUAAGUGUUUCUUUUCUUUAUAGAUGAUUACAUGUAAAACAAAAAGUCAGUGUUCAUGCUUAAGGUCUGAAUCCUUGCUAGAAAAAUGUAAUACGCAAAAUAAUCAAAGUACUGGGAAAAUCUGUGCAGCUGUUGUAACAGUAAAUAUUAUACACGUAGAAAGCCUUAAUGGUGUUCUUUAAUAGGUCAGUGGUCCGUGAACCCUGCUCAGCCAGCUUUUUUCACAUUUAUCCCACUGAGAUAUGAAGACAGCAUUUAACAAGACCUCAGCUAUCAGAAUAAAUUAUCAGCUGCUAAAGUAGCAACAUGUACAUGCAAAUGGACAUCAAGUAUGAGACGAUCAGUGUCAUCUUGUCACAAUUAGUCUGUCUUAAAACAAUAGCUGGAUGUCCGUAUGAAGAUUUAAAGUCUUUGCUGUGAUUAUUUCUCCUGUUCAUACUGGCCUUGAAAAUGUUCCCUCUAUGCUACACUUUCACAAUGAUGAGGGACAAAAUUUAAGGAAUAGUUUAUCUGACAGCCUCAUUUAUAGCAGUCAGACUAUGUAAUGUUUGUGUCAGGAAGCAGGGACAAACUACCAGAAACUUGAAAGUAAACCAGGAGAUUUAUCUGAAACAGUGUGACUGAUACUGGCUAUCUUGUGUGUUCAAGCUUCAAUAAAGUAAAACAAAGGUUUUCACACUGCAGAUCAG